UUGGAGGGCAAGUCUGGUGCCAGCAGCCGCGGUAAUUCCAGCUCCAAUAGCGUAUAUUAAAGUUGUUGCAGUUAAAAAGCUCGUAGUUGAAUUUCGGGGUUUAUCCGUUGGUCGGGCUUUUGGGUCUGUACUGGCGUGAUGAAUUCCUACCUUCUGAAUAACCAGCAUGCCAUUAAUUUGGUGCGCUGGGGAAGCAGGACUGUUACCUUGAAAAAAUUAGAGUGCUUAAAGCAGGCUAUUGCCUGAAUACAUUAGCAUGGAAUAAUGAAAUAGGACGCAUGGUUCUAUUUUGUUGGUUUCUAGGAUCACCGUAAUGAUUAAUAGGGAUAGUUGGGGGCAUUAGUAUUCAAUUGUCAGAGGUGAAAUUCUUGGAUUUAUUGAAGACUAACUUCUGCGAAAGCAUUUGCCAAGGAUGUUUUCAUUAAUCAAGAACGAAAGUUAGGGGAUUGAAGACGAUCAGAUACCGUCGUAGUCUUAACCAUAAACUAUGCCGACUAGGGAUCGGACGAUGUUAAUUUUUUAAUGACUCGUUCGGCGCCUUACGGGAAAC
rnacentral:rRNA from 1 species